rnacentral:lncRNA from 1 species
CUGCUGGAGUUUCAUGGUUUCAUGUCUGUAAUUUUUUUUUUAAAUGAGUAUGCAGUGAAAUUUAAAAAAUUUAGAUUAAAUCAAAUUUAAUUUAAGAAUACAUAAGAUCAAAUCUUAAAAUCAUAAAUAAGAUGACAUAUGUGAGAUAGAAUUCAAAUAUAGAAAUCAAAUAGUGAAAAAUAAAUAUACUUCAUACCUUGGUAUGUGUUGGGUAUAAAAUAACCCCAGCCGAAGUUCGUAAGAGGCCGACCCUCCCAGGGCUCUUCCGACUUUCCCGACCUUGUGCGGCGUCCAUCUGAACUUCUCCGACUGUCCGAGCUUCCACAAUACCAUCCGGACUCUCCCAGCAGUCGACCUUCCACGGUGUCCUCCAGAUUCCUCC